UAUCCAAAAUAGGGUGCUAAUAGAUGCAGUGAUGUCACAGAGAGCCUUUGAUGCUAGACUGUGGUGUUUGCACAGGAUUUGAUGGGAAGUAGGGAGUCAUGGAAGGUGUGAGAGUGAGGGAGGACUAUGGGGGAUUUGUGCCUUAGAUCAUUAUGGCACAGUGCCAGAUGAAAGGAUUGAGGGGGUUGAGCCUGGAGCUGAAGGCACCACAGUUCCCCCACCUCCCUGAGCUAUUCCUGUUUUUCUUUUUCUCAGGAGCCUGCAGGGUUAUUCCUGCCACACAUCCUAUCACUCCAGCAAAGCAUCAGCAAAAGCCAUCCAUCCA
rnacentral:lncRNA from 1 species